rnacentral:rRNA from 1 species
GAUGAACGCUGGCGGCGUGCUUAACACAUGCAAGUCGAACGGAAAGGCUCCUGCUUGCCGGGGUACUCGAGUGGCGAACGGGUGAGUAACACGUGGGUGAUCUGCCCUGCACUUCGGGAUAAGCCUGGGAAACUGGGUCUAAUACCGGAUAGGACCACAUUUUGGAUGGUGUGGUGGAAAGUUUUUCGGUGUGGGAUGAGCUCGCGGCCUAUCAGCUUGUUGGUGGGGUAAUGGCCUACCAAGGCGUCGACGGGUAGCCGGCCUGAGAGGGUGUACGGCCACAUUGGGACUGAGAUACGGCCCAGACUCCUACGGGAGGCAGCAGGGGGGAAUAUUGCACAAUGGGCGCAAGCCUGAUGCAGCGACGCCGCGUGGGGGAUGACGGCCUUCGGGGUGUAAACUCCUUUCGCUAGGGACGAAGCGUUUUUGUGACGGUACCUGGAGAAGAAGCACCGGCUAACUACGUG